rnacentral:rRNA from 1 species
GGCAUCGACCAGAGGGAAAAGGAGCAAUCCGCUUUGAGAUGGCCUCGCGUCCGAUUAGCUAGUUGGUGAGGUAACGGCCCACCAAGGCGACGAUCGGUAGCCGGACUGAGAGGUUGAACGGCCACAUUGGGACUGAGACACGGCCCAGACUCCUACGGGAGGCAGCAGUGGGGAAUAUUGCACAAUGGGGGAAACCCUGAUGCAGCGACGCCGCGUGGAGGAAGAAGGUCUUCGGAUUGUAAACUCCUGUUGUUGAGGAAGAUAAUGACGGUACUCAACAAGGAAGUGACGGCUAACUACGUGCCAGCAGCCGCGGUAAAACGUAGGUCACAAGCGUCGUCCGGAAUUACUGGGUGUAAAGGGAGCGCAGGCGGGAAGACAAGUUGGAAGUGAAAUCUAUGGGCUCAACCCAUAAACUGCUUUCAAAACUGUUUUUCUUGAGUAGUGCAGAGGUAGGCGGAAUUCCCGGUGUAGCGGUGGAAUGCGUAGAUAUCGGGAGGAACACCAGUGGCGAAGGCGGCCUACUGGGCACCAACUGACGCUGAGGCUCGAAAGUGUGGGUAGCAAACAGGAUUAGA